GAUGAACGCUGGCGGCGUGCCUAAUACAUGCAAGUCGAGCGAACAGACGAGUAGCUUGCUCCUCUGACGUUAGCGGCGGACGGGUGAGUAACACGUGGAUAACCUACCUAUAAGACUGGGAUAACUUCGGGAAACCGGAGCUAAUACCGGAUAAUAUAUUGAACCGCAUGGUUCAAUAGUGAAAGACGGUUUUGCUGUCACUUAUAGAUGGAUCCGCGCCGCAUUAGCUAGUUGGUAAGGUAACGGCUUACCAAGGCAACGAUGCGUAGCCGACCUGAGAGGGUGAUCGGCCACAAUGGAACUGAGACACGGUCCAGACUCCUACGGGAGGCAGCAGUAGGGAAUCUUCCGCAAUGGGCGAAAGCAUGACGGAGCAACGCCGCGUGAGUGAUGAAGGUCUUCGGAUCGUAAAACUCUGUUAUUAGGGAAGAACAAAUGUGUAAGUAACUAUGCACGUCUUGACGGUACCUAAUCAGAAAGCCACGGCUAACUACGUG
rnacentral:rRNA from 1 species